rnacentral:sRNA from 1 species
CCAGAAUACGUGGGGCAGCAUGCUCCCAC